UACGAAGGGUGCAAGCGUUGUCCGGAAUUAUUGGGCGUAAAGAGCUCGUAGGCGGUUUGUUGCGUCGGCUGUGAAAUCCCGAGGCUCAACCUCGGGUCUGCAGUCGAUACGAGCAAACUAGAGUGUUGCAGGGGAGACUGGAAUUCCUGGUGUAGCGGUGAAAUGCGCAGAUAUCAGGAGGAACACCGGUGGCGAAGGCGGGUCUCUGGGCAACAACUGACGCUGAGGAGCGAAAGCGUGGGGAGCGAACAGG
rnacentral:rRNA from 1 species